rnacentral:rRNA from 1 species
CCUACGGGAGGCAGCAGUGGGGAAUAUUGGACAAUGGGGGGAACCCUGAUCCAGCGACGCCGCGUGAGUGAAGAAGUAUUUCGGUAUGUAAAGCUCUAUCAGCAGGGAAGAAAGAAAUGACGGUACCUGACUAAGAAGCCCCGGCUAACUACGUGCCAGCAGCCGCGGUAAUACGUAGGGGGCAAGCGUUAUCCGGAUUUACUGGGUGUAAAGGGAGCGUAGACGGCGAUGCAAGUCUGAAGUGAAAGGCGGGGGCCCAACCCCCGGACUGCUUGGGAAACUGUAUGGCUGGAGUGCAGGAGAGGUAAGUGGAAUUCCUAGUGUAGCGGUGAAAUGCGUAGAGAUUAGGAGGAACACCAGUGGCGAAGGCGGCUUACUGGACUGUAACUGACGUUGAGGCUCGAAAGCGUGGGGAGCAAACAGGAUUAGAUACCCGGGUAGUC